rnacentral:lncRNA from 1 species
GAACAGAAUGCCAACUUUAACAACAAAAAUAACAGGAAGCAACAAUUACUUUUCCUUAAUAUCUCUUAAUAUCAAUGGACUCAACUCCCCAAUAAAAAGACAUAGACUAACAAACUGGCUACACAAACAAGACCCAACAUUUUGCUGCUUACAGGAAACUCAUCUCAGAGAAAAAGAUAGACACUACCUCAGAAUGAAAGGCUGGAAAACAAUUUUCCAAGCAAAUGGUAUGAAGAAACAAGCUGGAGUAGCCAUUCUAAUAUCUAACAAAAUCGACUUCCAACCCAAAAUAAUCAAAAAAGACAAGGAGGGGCACUUCAUACUCAUCAAAGGUAAAAUCCUCCAAGAGGAACUCUCAAUUCUGAAUAUCUAUGCUCCAAAUACAAGGGCAGCCACAUUCAUUAAAGAAACUUUAGUAAAGCUCAAAGCACACAUUGCACCUCACACAAUAAUAGUGGGAGACUUCAACACACCACUUUCACCAAUGGACAGAUCAUGGAAACAGAAACUAAACAGGGACACAGUGAAACUAACAGAAGUGAUGAAACAAAUGGACUUAACAGAUAUCUACAGAACAUUUCAUCCUAAAACAAAAGGAUAUACCUUCUUCUCAGCACCUCAUGGUACCUUCUCUAAAAUUGACCACAUAAUUGGUCACAACACAAGCCUCAACAUAU